rnacentral:rRNA from 1 species
UGCCUGUACCAUAACCGACACAGGUGGGUAGGUAGAGUAUACUAAGGGGCGCGAGAUAACUCUCUCUAAGGAACUCGGCAAAAUGACUCCGUAACUUCGGGAGAAGGAGUGCCUUAUUUAUAAGGUUGCAAUAACAAGAUCCAAGCAACUGUUUAUCAAAAACACAGGUCUCCGCUAAGUCGUAAGACGAUGUAUGGGGGCUGACGCCUGCCCAGUGCCAGAAGGUUAAAGAAGUUGGUUAGUGUAUGCGAAGCUGAUGACUGAAGCCCUGGUGAACGGCGGCCGUAACUAUAACGGUCCUAAGGUAGCGAAAUUCCUUGUCGGGUAAGUUCCGACCCGCACGAAAGGCGUAAUGAUUUGGAUACUGUCUCGGAGAGAGGCUCGGUGAAAUAGACUUGUCUGUGAAGAUGCGGACUACCUGCACCAGGACAGAAAGACCCUAUGAAGCUUUACUGUAACUUGAAAUUGGAAUUGGACUUUGCUUGCGCAGUAUAGGUGGGAAGCGUUGAAAAUAUUCUUGCGGGAGUAUUGGAGCUAUCAGUGAGAUACCACUCUUGUAAUGUUAGAUUUCUAACUUUGAACCAUAAUCUGUCAAAGAACAGUUUCAGGUGGGCAGUUUGACUGGGGCGGUCGCCUCCCAAAUGGUAACGGAGGCGUACAAAGGUUUCCUCUGAACGGAUAGAAAUCGUAUCUAGAGUGUAAAGGCAUAAGGAAGCUUGACUGUGAGACCUACAAGUCGAGCAGGGACGAAAGUCGGUCUUAGUGAUCUGACGGUACUGAGUGGAAAGGCCGUCACUCAACGGAUAAAAGUUACUCUAGGAUAACAGGCUGAUCUCCCCCAAGAGUUCACAUCGACGGGGAGGUUUGGCACCUCGAUGUCGGCUCAUCGCAUCCUGGGGCGGUAGUACGUCCCAAGGGUUGGGCUGUUCGCCCAUGAAAGCGGUACGCGAGCUGGGUUCAGAACGUCGUGAGACAGUUCGGUCCAUAUCCGGUGUAGGCGCUAGAAUAUUGAGAGGAGCCUUCUUUAGUACGAGAGGACCGAGAAGGACACACCGCUGGUGUACCAGUUAUCGUGCCAACGGUAAACGCUGGGUAGCUAUGUGUGGAGUGGAUAACCGCUGAAAGCAUCUAAGUGGGAAGCCCACCUCAAGAUGAGUGCUCUCACAGGGUUAACCUGGUAAGGUCACGGGAAGACCACCCGUUAAUAGGCACUAGGUGGAAGUCCAGUAAUGGA